rfam:Daucus carota subsp. sativus cultivar DH1 chromosome 4, whole genome shotgun sequence.
AGCAAAACGGGAUAUUGGUCCGGUUCAAUAAGAAAGUCGUGUUCAAAAUAUUCGGGACUUUGCUUUCUGAUUGAGCCGUGCCAAUAUCACGUGUCGUUCC